GACGGAGGGCGCAAGCGUUGUUCGGAAUUACGGGGCGUAAAGCGCGGGCAGGCGGUCUGUUAAGUCGUUUGUGAAAACCCGGGACUCAACCCCGGGAAUGCAGACGAUACUGGCAGGCUGGAGACUGGUAGAGGCUAGCGGAAUUCCUGGUGUAGCGGUGGAAUGCGUAGAUAUCAGGAAGAACACCUGUGGCGAAGGCGGCUAGCUGGGCCAGUUCUGACGCUCAUCCGCGAAAGCGUGGGGAGCAAACAGG
rnacentral:rRNA from 1 species